rnacentral:lncRNA from 1 species
UUGCACCCAUUUUCUUUUUUUCAAAUGUGUCGUUCGACGUUACGCGCGACUUUAAUUAUGGUCCGCAGAUUUAUUCGCAAAUGUGAGUCACAGCGCCGUGGUAUUUUACUUGAUAUUUGAACGAGAACGUGAGGUGCAGUGCGCACGCACAAGGAAAUAAAUGACGGGUGCUUGGGCGAGAGUAGCACUAGGAUGGGUGACUUCCUGCGAAGUCCUUAUAUUUCACCCAUUUUCUUAGGAAGUCCUCGUGUUAUACCUUUUUUUUUGCAGAUGAUUCUUUCGACGAUACGCGCGACUUGAAUUAUG